UGGGUAGACCCAACCCGAUUUUAAAGAAGAUCAGAUAAAAUAACUUCUCAAAGGAAGUUACUACAUGUAAGUGUAGUGGAAGGGCAGGGUAGUUUUUAUUCUAACAACUGCUAUUUGAUUGUGCCUCAAAUAGAGAAAAUUUUGGUCUUUUUGGAAAAAAACACAGAGGACAGAGAAAGAGAGAAAGAAAAAGAAGUUUUCUUUUCUUCCACCACAUUAACACAAAAAGACAUUUAGUUUGUGGUAAUUUCUGCUUUGUUUCCAAGAAAUUCAAAGUGGACUUUGGAGCAAUUUUCUGGGUUGAGAUUUCUACUCCGCUGCAUUAACAGGAUCACUAGAGCGACCCAGAAUCCAUUGAGUUUUUUCACUUGGUCAUUAUUUCACUUACAAAAUCUUAUUGGCUGGAAAGAUGUUGAGGAGGUUGCUGAGGGAAUUGAUGCUAGCGCUCUAACUGUGGAUAGUUAUUUCGUAUGAAAAAAAGUAUCUCAGAGAUGUUGAGUUGGUAGAAAAUAUAAUUCAACUUAUGUUAUUAUUAUAUUUUUAGUUAGUUUCUUUAGUUUUCGUUUCAUGAUUAUUAUUUUUUUCAAAUAUAAGAAAAAUGUAGUAAAACAGGAGGGUUACUAGAUGAAGCCAACUAACUGUAUACAUGUAUCAAUGUAUAUUAAAUAUAUGUAGAGAUUUAAAAGUACAAAUAAAAUUCCUCUUUUCUUUUAUAAAGAAAGUGUAACGAUGAAAAUAAAUUUCUCAAAGCUCUACUUUUAAUAAAAGCAUUUAUGUUUUUGAUUCGUCGAUAUAUAGAAUUAAGUAUUAUACACACACAUCUUUUAUGUUAACUAAAUUUAUAAAAGAUUGUUGCUAAGUAUUUUUCAUAACCAUGCGAAGUGCAGACAAUUUAACUAGUUUUCGCAUAAAAUAAUACAUAAAUUAUCUCAUAUCUAAUCUAUGUUACUAACACCUACAUAACUCUAACCAGCUACCAAACAACCCCGAACGAUUCAAGCCAUAUUAAUUCUACGCAAAUCUCUUGAAUUGCGGGACGACCUCAUCUAAAAGCUUGAAUUGUUGGACAUAGAACACUAUCCAAAUUGCAUCACCAACGGGCAAGCGCCUAACAAUGGAUGAAAUUGCUCGAGAUCAUUUUCCUUCUUUUAUAAUUGAGAAAUCCAUUACUGUAAUACUUAGAAAAGAAGAAACAGCUAGCAAUCCUUUCUCCAAUUAAAAAUAGACUCGUGUCUACCACUUCCAAAAAAAGCAUGGACAUAUGGGUAGAAUCUCCAAGUACGUUGAGAACUGACCAAAAAUGAAACAAUUCCUUGAUCUUUGAGCAAUUUCACAUGUCAUGAGGACUAAAGUUGCAGCCUAUCCUACUCUUAUCUAAUUGUUGG